AGAGUUUGAUCCUGGCUCAGAAUGAACGCUGGCGGCGUGCCUAACACAUGCAAGUCGUACGAGAAAGGGGCUUCGGCCCUGAGUAGAGUGGCGCACGGGUGAGUAACGCGUGGGUAAUCUGCCCUUGGAUUUGGAAUAACUCCGCGAAAGUGGAGCUAAUACCGGAUAGUCUGGCUUUUUAACGAAGUCGGUAAAGGAUGCCUCUGCAUAUGCAUUCGUCCGAGGAUGAGCCCGCGUCUCAUUAGCUAGUUGGUAGGGUAAUGGCCUACCAAGGCAACGAUGAGUAGCUGGUCUGAGAGGAUGAUCAGCCACACUGGAACUGAAACACGGUCCAGACUCCUACGGGAGGCAGCAGUGGGGAAUAUUGCGCAAUGGGCGAAAGCCUGACGCAGCAACGCCGUGUGAGGGAUGAAGGCUUUCGGGUCGUAAACCUCUGUCGGAAGGGAAGAACGGGCAUUGGUCUAAUAGGCCUUUGUUUUGACGGUACCUUUAGAGGAAGCACCGGCUAACUCCGUGCCAGCAGCCGCGGUAAUA
rnacentral:rRNA from 1 species